AAUUCUCUAGGUUCUCUUCUUAUUUCGGUGUGUCAUGUAUUUCCUUCUCGCACCAUGGAAUUUAAAUUCAAAUCUAAAUUAUCUCGGGUAUUCAAAUUUUUGUUAUAGAUGAAAUUUGAGGGAUUUGAAGCUUUGGUUUAUGUAACAGGUCAAGAAAGAAGGAAGACUUUAUGGGAAUUCCCCAGUUUGUGCUAGCUUCUCUGUCUAUACACGCAACUUGGAGUGAAAUUUAAUUUUAAUUUCUUUGUGUUACAAUACAGCAGUUCUGCCAUCAAGGAUCAAACCCAGGAGGAUAGGUUGUUGCUCCCUGCCGAAUUGUCCAUUUAUUUGGGUUCUAAGAGACUACUGUGAAGGGAUACAGGAAGAAGGCUAACGCAAGCAUUGAAGACAAUGUGGCCUCAUUGACGUUGAUGCAUGCAUAAUAGUUUGGAAUGCAGAGAGACAAAUUUGGAACAUAGAACAAAGGUCAAAAGGACGAAUUUAGUAGGUACGCUUUAAAACAAGAAAUGAAAAUUCGCCUUCCGCACAUGCGUAUGUGUGUGC